rnacentral:rRNA from 1 species
GUAGGGAAUAUUGGACAAUGGGGGCAACCCUGAUCCAGCGACGCCGCGUGAGUGAUGAAGGCCUUCGGGUCGUAAAGCUCUGUUGCAGGGGAAGAACACAAUGACGGUACCCUGCUAGAAAGGAUCGGCUAACUUCGUGCCAGCAGCCGCGGUAAGACGAGGGAUCCUAGCGUUGUUCGGAAUUAUUGGGCGUAAAGCGGGUGCAGGUGGCUUGGUAAGUCAGAUGUGAAAGCCUGGGGCUUAACCCCAGAAGUGCAUUUGAUACUGCUGAGCUUGAGUGCUGGAGAGGCUAUUAGAAUUCCUGGUGUAGUGGUGAAAUACGUAGAUAUCAGGAGGAAUACCGGGGGCGAAGGCGGAUAGCUGGCCAGACACUGACACUCAGACCCGAAAGCGUGGGGAUCAAACAGGAUUAGAAACCCCGGUAGUCC